GACAGAGGGUGCAAACGUUGUUCGGAAUUACUGGGCGUAAAGCGAGUGUAGGCGGUUUGGUAAGUCGGAUGUGAAAGCCCCGGGCUCAACCCGGGAAGUGCACUCGAUACUGCCAAGCUAGAGUAUCGGAGAGGUUGGUGGAAUUCUCGGUGUAGAGGUGAAAUUCGUAGAUAUCGAGAGGAACACCGGUGGCGAAGGCGGCGAUCUGGACGAUGACUGACGCUGAGACGCGAAAGCGUGGGGAGCAAACAGG
rnacentral:rRNA from 1 species